GGCUCAUUAAAGCAGUUAUAGUUUAUUUGAUGGUUGCUGCUACAUGGAUAACUGUGGUAAUUCUAGAGCUAAUACAUGCAUNCAAGCCCGACUUUGCAGAAGGGUUGUGUUUAUUAGAUCCANAACCAACCCAGGCUCCGNCUGGUCAUGUGGUGAUUCAUGAUAACUUGACGAAUCGUGCGGCCUUGCCGACCAUGCGUCAUUCAAGUUUCUGACCUAUCAUCUUCCNACGGUAGGGUAUUGGCCUACCGUGGCAAUGACGGGUAACGGANAAUUANGGUUUGAUUCCGGAGAGGGAGCCUGANAAACGGCUACCACAUCUAAUGAA
rnacentral:rRNA from 1 species